rnacentral:rRNA from 1 species
UACAGAGGUGGCAAGCGUUGUUCGGAAUUACUGGGCGUAAAGGGCGCGUAGGCGGCCUUCUAAGUCAGACGUGAAAUCCCCAGGCUUAACUUGGGAACUGCGUCUGAUACUGGAAGGCUUGAGUGCGGGAGAGGGAUGUGGAAUUCCAGGUGUAGCGGUGAAAUGCGUAGAUAUCUGGAGGAACACCGGUGGCGAAGGCGGCAUCCUGGACCGACACUGACGCUGAGGCGCGAAAGCUAGGGGAGCAAACGGG